rnacentral:rRNA from 1 species
AUUGAACGCUGGCGGCAUGCCUUACACAUGCAAGUCGAACGGUAACAGGUUAAGCUGACGCGUGGCGAACGGGUGAGUAAUGUAUCGGAACGUGGUCAGUAGCGGGCGAUAACUCCGCGGAAGAGCAGCUAAUACCGCAUACGACACGACGUAGAAAUCGGUGGCGCACGAGACCUCGCGCGAUUGGACAAGUCGAUAUCAAAUUAGGGAGUUGGUGAGGUAAAGGCUCACCAGGCCGAUAACCUGUAGCUGAGCUGAGGGGACGACCAGCCACACGGGGGCUGAGACACGCCCCAGACUCCUCCGGGAGGCAGCAGUGGGGAAUUUUGGACAAUGGGCGCAAGCCUGAUCCAGCCAGGCCGGGGGCGGGAAGAAGUCCUUCGGGUUGUAAACCGUUUUUGUCAGGAAAGAAGAGUUUCUGGCUAAUACCUGGGAAUCAUGACGGUACCUUACGAAUAAGCAACGGCUAACUACGUG